AGUUGACGGCGGAUUAUGCCCGUACAGCGAUUGGAGCGAUUGCUCAGUGACGUGUGAAAACGGCACACAGACACGCUCUAGGGAGUGCAAGUGUCCUGAACCCGCCUACGGUGGCGCCAUCUGUGGAGGUGGGAAAACCGAGACCCAGUCAUGUAAUGGCCCCUGUUGCCCAGUUGAUGGUUAUCUGAGUGAUUGGUUACCAUGGUCUUCUUGUUCUGCUACCUGUGGACUACUAGGAACAGUGACUCGGUCACGUACCAAGGAGUGUAUAUACCCCGAACCAGAUUGCCGUGGUGAUGACUGUGGCCAACUUCCAGAAGAAUAUGAAAACUGCACCCAAAAGCCGUGUGGUACAACAAGUGGCGGAUCACCGGGUUCAUUCCAACACGACAGAGGAAAUAGGCUUCAUGAUCUUCACGUGAAUUUCCGAGGAGCUAACACAAAUGUCACCUUUAGAUGUGGGGUUGUA